CGGGGUGAGUAACGCGUGGGUAACCUGCCUUAUACAGGGGGAUAACAGUCAGAAAUGGCUGCUAAUACCGCAUAAGCGCACAGAGCUGCAUGGCUCAGUGUGAAAAACUCCGGUGGUAUAAGAUGGACCCGCGUUGGAUUAGCUUGUUGGCGGGGUAACGGCCCACCAAGGCGACGAUCCAUAGCCGGCCUGAGAGGGUGAACGGCCACAUUGGGACUGAGACACGGCCCAG
rnacentral:rRNA from 1 species